GUGCUGGCCGUGGCGGUGCCCACCUCCCUGCUGCUCCUGCUUCUCGCCGCCUUUUCCCUCCUGAUUGUCACCCGCCAUCGGGCAGCUGUCAAGGCAAAAGCUCCCCGGGAAGAAGAGGGGCUCGGGCAGCGCAGCCCCAUCUACAAGGGCAGCCUGGAGUCGGUGCCCUCCACCGCUGGGGACACCCAGCCCCUCGUGAUGUGAGCUCAGGAGGAAAGAGACCCUCCACCUGCCGUCCGGGCUUCUUUCGAGAUUCAGCCUCUUCUUCUGUCUUGGGAUGAUGGGAUCUCACCGACGCAGAAUCUCUUUGGGGUGUUAAUUGCCUUUGAUUUUGAGAAUGGGGGAGUUUGGCUUGCGGAAGGGAGACCUUUCCUCUUGGCUGG